UGGAGGAGGGGGAGGAACAUGUGGGGGUGGGGGCAGCAGAGAGAGAGAGAGAGGGGGAGAAAAUUGGCCCGGUCAGAGUUGGGAUCCUCAGGGGGAAUGUACGACACAAUAGCAACUUUUUUCUUUCUCCUCUUGUAGCUGCAGCACACUCCCUAUUUUCCCUCCCUCCCUCCUCCCUCUCUUUCCUUCUCUCUCUUUUUUCCUCCUCCCCCUCUGUCUCUCUCCCUCACUCCUCCCCUCUGCUCCUUCACCGCCUCCCUCGCUUCCCCCAUUCCA